CCGCGGUAAUACCAGCUCUCCGUGUGGUGUGGACGUUUAUUGGGCCUAAAGCAUCCGUAGCUGGCUGAACAAGUCCCCUGUUAAACCCACCGAUUUAGUCGUUGGCGUGCGGGGGAUACUGCUUGGCUAGGGGACGAGAGAGGCAGACGGUAUUCCCGGGGUAGGGGUGAAAUCCUAUAAUCCCGAGAAGACCACCAGUGGCGAAGGCUGUCUGCUAGAACGCGCCCGACGGUGAGGGAUGAAAGCUGGGGGAGCGAACCGGAUUAGAUACCCGGGUAGUCCCAGCUGUAAACGAUGCAGACUAGGUGUUUGGACGGCCACGUGCCGUUCUAGUGCCGCAGGGAAGCUGUUAAGUCUGCCGCCUGGGGAGUACGAUCGCAAGGUUGAAACUUAAAGGAAUUGGCGGGGGAGCACA
rnacentral:rRNA from 1 species